CGCGGGGGGGCGCAGUUCGGUAGCUCGUCGGGCUCAUAACCCGAAGGGCGCAGGUUCAAAUCCUGCCCCCGCCACCA
rnacentral:tRNA from 1 species